UGGGAUAGCUCAGUUAGUAGUGCAUGAGACUCUUAAUCUCAGGGUAAUGGGUUUGAGCCACACAAUGGGCAAAA